CUGUCCUGGAGCGACCACGACUGUGCGAGCAGGGUGUCGCACGACCCCGGCUUGCCCUGUGUGGCCUGGACGACAAGGGCGAUCGCCACGUCGACGACGGCCAACUGGCGACCGCCCACACAUACAUACUGCACGGCGCGCUGGACGAUGCGUGCCAUCGGGUGUAUUCGACGUGGCGGGCGGGAGCGCAUGGGCAAUGGGCAUGUCGCCGCCAACCCGCGGUCAGCGUGCACCGUCGGUUUUAUAGCAACACCAGCGGCGGCAGUGGCGGCGGCGGUCUUGUUCUGAUCCUCACAGACAGAUGCGGAUGGAGAUGUCGCGUUAUUGGUGCGCUGGCGAGCACGCCGUCGUGUGGGUUCGCUUCGUGUGAGCGCACGGCGCUUGCGCGGCGCACACGAUUCAAUCGACUGUGGGCAUGUGCUCGUCAAAGUGGCUCGGGCGUCGUGCUCGGCCAUGGGAUGAGGCAAGGCAAGUUGUUCCAUGAAUCGGAAAGAGGGCAGGUACCGACAGACCAGCCGUAGCAGUUGGAACAAGAAACAGAAACAAAGGAAAAAGAAGAAAACCACCCAAGGCAAUGCGGCACGGUGGCACUGCACCACACCGACCAAUCGCAAAAGAAAAGUGCGUCUUUUGGCACUCUUUUG
rnacentral:lncRNA from 1 species